rnacentral:rRNA from 1 species
UACAGAGGUGGCAAGCGUUGUUCGGAUUUAUUGGGCGUAAAGGGUUCGUAGGCGGACCGGAAAGUCAGAUGUGAAAUCCCACAGCUCAACUGUGGAACUGCAUUUGAAACUUUCGGACUAGAGUGUGAGAGGGGUAAAGGGAAUUCCCGGUGUAAGGGUGAAAUCUGCAGAGAUCGGGAAGGAACACCAGUCGCGAAGGCGCUUACUGGCUCACUACUGACGCUCAGGAACGAAAGCUAGGGUAGCAAACGGG